CCGAAAAUAGCUCAGUUGGUAGAGCGGGAGACUGUAGUUCUGUCUGUCAUCUCUAGGUCCCUGGUUCAAAUCCGGGUUUUCGGA
rnacentral:tRNA from 1 species